ensembl:snRNA U1 U1 spliceosomal RNA
AUACUUACCUGGCAGGGGAGAUACCGUGAUCAAGAAGGCGGUUCACCCAGGACGAGGCUCAGCCAUUGCACUGUAGGGGCAGUGGUGGCCUAGCGGUUAAGGAAGCGGCCCCGUAAUCAGAAGGUUGCCGGUUCGAAUCCCGAUCUGCCAAGGU